rnacentral:rRNA from 1 species
UACAGAGGGUGCGAGCGUUGUUCGGAAUUACUGGGCGUAAAGCGCGUGUAGGCGGCCCGGUAAGUCCGCUGUGAAAGUCGGGGGCUCAACCCUCGGAUGCCGGUGGAUACUGUCGGGCUAGAGUGCGGAAGAGGCGAGUGGAAUUCCUGGUGUAGCGGUGAAAUGCGCAGAUAUCAGGAGGAACACCAAUUGCGAAGGCAGCUCGCUGGGACGUGACUGACGCUGAGACGCGAAAGCGUGGGGAGCAAACAGG